UUCCUUUAGAACCUACAUAAAAUAAAGAACCACAGACAACGUUUGAGUUUUCAACCAAGCUUUUGCAAAAGGAGAAGACACAGUGAACUGCUCCUCUGAACAGUUCACCAUGUGUUCUGAAACUCUGCAGUAGAACUUGCCUUUUAUUAACACAAAACAAAAGAAAGGAGGCUGGUGCUGAUAAGAUUAGGAGUCCCC